CUACGGGAGGCAGCAGUGGGGAAUUUUCCGCAAUGGGCGAAAGCCUGACGGAGCAAUACCGCGUGAGGGAAGACGGCCUAUGGGUUGUAAACCUCUUUUUUCAGGGAGGAAUUUUGACGUGUACCUGAAGAAUAAGCAUCGGCUAACUCCGUGCCAGCAGCCGCGGUAAGACGGAGGAUGCAAGUGUUAUCCGGAAUCACUGGGCGUAAAGCGUCUGUAGGUGGUUAAGCAAGUCAACUGUUAAAUCUUGAGGCUCAACUUCAAAAUCGCAGUCGAAACUGUUUGACUAGAGUAUAGUAGGGGUAAAGGGAAUUUCCAGUGGAGCGGUGAAAUGCGUAGAUAUUGGAAAGAACACCGAUGGCGAAGGCACUUUACUGGGCUAUUACUGACACUCAGAGACGAAAGCUAGGGUAGCAAAUGGGAUUAGAUACCCCAGUAGUCCUAGCCGUAAACAAUGGAUACUAGAUGUUGAACAGAUCGACCUGUGCAGUAUCAAAGCUAACGUGUUAAGUAUCCCGCCUGGGAAGUAUGCUCGCAAGAGUGAAACUCAAAG
rnacentral:rRNA from 1 species